UCCACAGGAGGAGAACAUCUGCCUGCACUGGGCCUCCUUCACGGGCAGCGCCGCCAUCGCCGAAGUUCUUCUGAAUGCGCGCUGCGAUCUCCAUGCUGUCAACUACCACGGGGACACCCCCCUGCACAUCGCAGCUCGGGAGAGCUACCAUGACUGCGUGCUGUUAUUCCUGUCACGUGGAGCCAACCCUGAGCUGCGGAACAAGGAGGGGGACACAGCAUGGGACCUGACUCCCGAGCGCUCCGACGUGUGGUUUGCGCUUCAACUCAACCGCAAGCUCCGACUCGGGGUGGGAAAUCGGGCCAUCCGCACAGAGAAGAUCAUCUGCCGGGACGUGGCUCGGGGCUAUGAGAACGUGCCCAUUCCCUGUGUCAAUGGUGUGGAUGGGGAGCCCUGCCCCGAGGAUUACAAGUACAUCUCGGAGAACUGCGAGACGUCCACCAUGAACAUCGACCGCAACAUCACCCACCUGCAGCACUGCACGUGUGUGGACGACUGCUCCAGCUCCAACUGCCUGUGCGGCCAGCUCAGCAUCCGGUGCUGGUAUGACAAGGAUGGGCGAUUGCUCCAGGAAUUUAACAAGAUUGAGCCCCCACUGAUUUUCGAGUGUAACCAGGCAUGCUCAUGCUGGAGAAACUGCAAGAACCGGGUCGUACAGAGUGGCAUCAAGGUGCGGCUACAGCUCUACCGAACAGCCAAGAUGGGCUGGGGGGUCCGCGCCCUGCAGACCAUCCCACAGGGGACCUUCAUUUGCGAGUAUGUUGGGGAGCUGAUCUCUGAUGCUGAGGCUGAUGUGAGAGAGGAUGAUUCUUACCUCUUCGACUUGGACAACAAGGAUGGAGAAGUGUACUGCAUUGAUGCCCGUUACUAUGGCAACAUCAGCCGCUUCAUCAACCACCUGUGUGACCCCAACAUCAUUCCCGUCCGGGUCUUCAUGCUGCACCAAGACCUGCGAUUUCCACGCAUCGCCUUCUUCAGUUCCCGAGACAUCCGGACUGGGGAGGAGCUAGGGUUUGACUAUGGCGACCGCUUCUGGGACAUCAAAAGCAAGUAUUUCACCUGCCAGUGUGGCUCUGAGAAGUGCAAGCACUCAGCCGAAGCCAUUGCCCUGGAGCAGAGCCGUCUGGCCCGCCUGGACCCACACCCUGAGCUGCUGCCUGAGCUCGGCUCCCUGCCCCCUGUCAACACAUGAGAACGGACCACACCCUCCCUCCCCAGCAUGGAUGGCUACAGCUCAGCCACCUCCUCUGCCACCAGCUGCUCGCAGCCCAUGCCUGGGGGUGCUGCCAUCUUCUCUCCCCACCACCCUUUCACACAUUCCUGACCAGAGAUCCCAGCCAGGCCCUGGAGGUCUGACAGCCCCUCCCUCCCAGAGCUGGUUCCUCCCUGGGAGGGCAACUUCAGGGCUGGUCACUCCCCUGUUCCCCAUCCUCAGUUGAAGUUUGAUGAAUUGAAGUCGGGCCUCUAUGCCAACUGGUUCCUUUUGUUGUCAAUAAAUGUUGGGUUUGGUAAUAAA
rnacentral:sRNA from 1 species